UACGUAGGGGGCAAGCGUUGUCCGGAAUUAUUGGGCGUAAAGAGCGUGUAGGCGGCCAGAUAAGUCCGCUGUGAAAUCUCGAGGCUCAACUUCGAGCUGUCGGUGGAAACUAUCUGGCUAGAGUCCGGAAGAGGAGAGUGGAAUCCUGGUAGUAGCGGUGAAAUGCGCAGAUAUCAGGAAGAACACCCGUGGCGAAGGCGGCUCCUCGUGGGACGGUACUGACGCGAGACGGCGAAAGCGUGGGGAGCGAACAGG
rnacentral:rRNA from 1 species